rfam:Cajanus cajan Scaffold135727_39, whole genome shotgun sequence.
UUGUUUGCAGGUGCAGCAGCAUCAAGAUUCACACACAAAUUCUACCUUCAUGUUUUUGGUGCUGAGAAUCUUGAUGAUGCUGCAUCAGCAAUAGA